GCUCAGAGGCCGAAAUUCUUAAAAAGCCCAAGAGGGGAAAAGCUCGAAGGCCUGGCCCAAUACGGGAACCUUCGCGGUUUCCUCUUCUACCAGUCUCUCGACUCUUCUCCUCGAAGAAACUUCUCCACUCUUCUUCUUCGGUCCUUCCAGUAGCGAAGCAACUUGCGAUCCAUGGCGCCGAUGGACCCGAGGACGGAGAGGGUAGUUCGACGGACUUCUAUGGUCGGCGCAGUCGUUGCCGCCUACCUCCUCCUCACCGCCGACUACGGCCCCAACUACACCAACCCGAUAAAGAAGGCCAAGGAAUCCUCACAACUAUCUUUGAAGGACCUUAUAUUCAAAUCUGGUAAGGAUGGACAUAGGAAGGGACAAGAAAAUUCAGAGUAGCAGAUUCGGAGACAGAAUGACUGAAGACCGUGAAUGAUGUUGGUAUCACGUCACUUUGUGUAUUUCUUCUGUGCGUAGAAAUAAAACUGUAGUAGCAAGUCAUAUUCUCUUUUGUGUUUCUUGUUACAUCAAGCACUAGUAUGAAUGUAUCAGCUAGUAGCCGAUUUACUUUGUUGUAUAGCUAGCUGUUACAUCAGACGUAUCAUAAUGUAAGUUCCAUCACUGCGUUCUAGGUAACCAUGUUCUUUA